rnacentral:rRNA from 1 species
GACGAACGCUGGCGGCGUGCUUAACACAUGCAAGUCGAACGGAAAGGCCCUGCUUUUGUGGGGUGCUCGAGUGGCGAACGGGUGAGUAACACGUGAGUAACCUGCCCUUGACUUUGGGAUAACUUCAGGAAACUGGGGCUAAUACCGGAUAGGAGCUCCUGCUGCAUGGUGGGGGUUGGAAAGUUUCGGCGGUUGGGGAUGGACUCGCGGCUUAUCAGCUUGUUGGUGGAGUAGUGGCUUACCAAGGCUUUGACGGGUAGCCGGCCUGAGAGGGUGACCGGCCACAUUGGGACUGAGGUACGGACCAGACUCCUACGGGAGGCAGCAGUGGGGAAUAUUGCACAAUGGGCGGAAGCCUGAGGCAGCAACGCCGCGUGCGGGAUGACGGCCUUCGGGUUGUAAACCGCUUUCGCCUGUGACGAAGCGUGAGUGACGGUAAUGGGUAAAGAAGCACCGGCUAACUACGUG